UACGGAGGGUGCGAGCGUUGUCCGGAAUCACUGGGCGUAAAGCGCACGUAGGCGGCUUUGUAAGUUAGAGGUGAAAGCCCGGGGCUCAACUCCGGAAUUGCCUUUAAGACUGCAUCGCUAGAAUUGUGGAGAGGUAAGUGGAAUUCCGAGUGUAGAGGUGAAAUUCGUAGAUAUUCGGAAGAACACCAGUGGCGAAGGCGACUUACUGGACACAUAUUGACGCUGAGGUGCGAAAAGCGUGGGGAGCAAACAGG
rnacentral:rRNA from 1 species